UACAUCGUGGUUUAUUUUCAGUAAAUCUAAUUGUAUUCAACAAUGGUUACAUGUUCUGAUUGUGGUGUUAAUAAUAUAAAUAAUCCUGAAAAUUGCACAUUUCACAGAUUCCCUCUAGAUACUAUACUAAGAGGAAAAUGGUUGAGAUUAAUUGGGCGCGUUGGUUGGAAUCCAAAGAAGAACUCUACCAUUUGCAGCAAACAUUUCCCGGACGAAUAUAAAAGAAAAAGACGAAUAAAUACAGUUUUAGUUAAAGGAGCCAUUCCAACUUUAUUUGUACCAGGACAUAUAAAAGAGAGAAUCCCGUCAUCGUAUAUCAAUCGGGACAUAGCUCUAUCUUCGAUAUCACAAACUCCAGAAAAAAGUGUUCAGCUCACACCAAGAACAAAAAAGCUUAUUAGCAAAAACGACAAACUGAAACAAAAGCUACAAGAAAAACAAAAAAAAAUACGUAGAUUAGCAGCAAAAAAUAAAAAACAGGCUCUAAAAAUAGUCACCCUGAAAGACGUUCUACAUGAAAUUCAUUCAAGACCGGGAUUGAAAGAUCACUACAGUGAUGUUACUAUGGCAUGCAGUAAUGAAUUAAUACAGAAUUUAAUUAACCGGGUUAAUGACAAAAAAUGUGGUAAAGUGCAGUCUUCGUGUAAAUACAGCAAAUAAUUACGAAAGUUUGCUAUCACUAUACACUUUUAUAGUCCAAGGGCAUAUAAUUAUUUGCGUGAAAUAGUGUGGCUUAUUUUCGAGUUUGGAAAACCACAAUUUGGACCAAGAUAUUUUAAGUGGUCAUAGGUAUUUAAUAAUGAAAUACGUUAUAGAAAUUUACUUUGACAUUCGACUUAAGUAUGAAAGUAAACUUAAUAAUUUACCAAAGGAA